AGAAGCUACAUGCUGAGGAGAAUGAAAAUAGAGCAAUAUCCUUCCAUCUUCUGCUGAAAUAAGUCUUAAACCCAUGUAUAAAAACCCUAAGGAGCCUUACUCCUUGGGCUAGAGCUUAAAGCCACACUUUGUCCUUGGGUUCACAGUGUGCCCUGCUGUUAUUAAUCAGAAUUCUUCUCUGAGGGGAGUUGAGAAUGUUGUUCCAAAGCUGGAUUAGGCAGUGACAUUUCUAAGCUGACCAUCCUGACUUCUUGUGUCCUCACAAUCCUCUACUGGGGAAAAGUUGAUUAUGAGAUUACCAGUUCUGAUCGGUGAAGAGUUUACACAGCAAGUCAGGCACAUGAUGGGCCUUGAAAAGAAUGAAUUAAGUUUUAACCAAACCGUAUCUGAAUACAGUUCUGAACCGCUUUUGCUGCAUAUGUAGCUGUUUCAUGGACAUCAGAACGUGACUUACAGUACUCACGCAUCUGCAUUAUGAAGAACUUUGUGCUGAAUGUGGAGAUUCACAAUGAUUAAUUUUGGCUUCUUAGAUUUUGACCUUUGAUUUUAAAUCAAGCUGACACUUACCUUCUUUUAAUACGACAUGUUUCAGAAUGUUUCACGUGGCGAAUGAGAAGUUGCCAUGCGCUCUUCCUAGCUGGAGCAGUCAUCUUCUUCCCCAGUUCAGUUAUCCUUUGUCUGCCCUGAACAAUUGUCUUCUGUGCUUUACUUUCUAUCUACACGUGCAUCAUUUCCCAUUCUAGACAGGAAGCUCCUGGAGGGCGGGAUCCAUUUCUGACUCAUCUUGGCAUGAUCAUAUCAGCAACACUUGAGAGUGCUAACUUGACAUCAGGCACUUGGCAUUUCAUUUGUUCUUCCCCAUUCCUCUAUGACAGCUUUGCGCAAUAUGCCCAAAAAUGUAUUGUUGCCCUGUCCAUGAGGUGUUUUUAGUCCCAUGUUAUAGAUGAGAAAACUGAGGUGCAGAGAGUUGCAGUAAUUGCUUUAGGGAUACUGAGCUAGUCAGUGCUGGAAAAAGCAUUCAAACCCAUUUCCUUCAAACUCAAGAGUCUGUGCUCUGAGUAGUGAAAUUAUAUCUCACAAUAGGAAGGGACCUCUCACACUGUACAAAUUCAGUAAUUGUAGACUGGAUGAGUGAUUCUCUGUCUAGGUUGUGUGACGAGCUGAUGUACUUCGGGGAAGGUAAAAAUGCAUGAAGGUGCUAAACCGUAUAAUCUUGGGAAGUAGGUAGACAGUAAGAGGGUCUGAGACAUGCUUUUGAUGUAAAGGAAACGAAUGCCCGAUUACCUGAGUAAACCAAAGGAAUUGUUUAUCUGAGUCCUGCUCCCAGUCAACCAUGUCUGGCAGGAGCAAUAUCGUUCUUGAACUUGUUUGUUUUCCAUGUUGCGUGGUUGAUGACAUCAUUACUUCACAUCUGAUGUAAUCAGACAUCUUACCUAUUGUUAGCUGGUUCUGAUGCAACCACUUCUUUGCCCAAGUCACUCUUCAUAGGUUAAGGUGUUCAGUUCUGGGGAGUAAAAUUGCUAAGAGGAGUACCUGUGGGACUAUAGUCAUCCCAUUCUACUCCACGACUUGCCAUGCCUUGCUAUGCCAUUCCAUUCCACUUCUUUCAUACUUUUCUAUCUAAUUCUACAAACAAAUCUUGAGUACUGAGAUGGACUGAAUGUUUAUGUCUCGCCCAAAUUCAUACGUUGAAAUCCUAACCCCCAACGUGAUGGUAUUAGGAGGGAGGGCUUUUGAGAUGUAAUUGUCAUAAAGGUAGAGACCUCAUAAAUAGGAUUAAUGUCCUUACAAAAGAGACCUCAGAGAGUUCCCUCAACCCUUCAGUCAUGGGGGACACAGUGAGAAGACAACUGUCUAUGAACCAGGAAGCGGGCUCUCACCAGACACUGACUCUGCUUGUGCCUUGAUUUUGCACUUCCCAGCCUCCAGGACUGGUGCUCAAGCAGUCCCAUAGAGGGCCCUGUGUUGAGGAGCAACAGCCAUGGGAGGAAGCUACUGCAGAAGCUGAUGCUCCAGCCCUGGUCCAGCCUCUGAAUGUCUACAGCCCCUGCCUACAUCCUAACUACAGUCCCAUCUGUUGCUGAGCCAGACCACCCGGCUAAACCACCCUGGAUUCCUGAUCCUCAAACAUUGUGAGACAGUAAACAUUUGCUUUGAGCUGUUGCGUUUUGGGGUAAUUUGUUAUGCAGCGAUAGGUAAGCAAUACAGGUAGCUUCUCUGAUUUCUCCUUAGCCCUUGCUGCCCUCACUGACGAGAUUGGUUUCAAGACUCUUUUCUGCAUUUUAAAAAAGCUAUGCCUUUUUCCUUUUGGUGACCACUUGGUGUGAUUUCUGAUAAAGAUAACGUCAAAGAUUCAAGUAGAUGUGGCAUCACUGUAGAUUCCAUUUCAGAAGUGGUCUUUGCUUCUGUAAAGAGGAGUGCUUUGACGACAAUGAUACAAUUGAAUGCCAACACGACAGAUCUACGGGUUACCCCUUGUGAAUCAGAACUCUGAGGAAAGGGCAGAUACCCUGUCUUAGGUGUGGAGGUCUGCAUGACGGAUAAUGUUAUUAGACUGGUAGAUUGGAGAAAAACUAGGUCUCAGUUUCAGUAAACACGUCAUAAAAAUUUGAUCAAUUAAUUGAAACAUUAUAAAUAAUAUGAAUAAAUGGAACUGAUUCAAAUAUUUAACACAGGGAAGUGAUAUUAUGAUGCAUUAAAUAAUACCUUGAUGGGUUAUUAUGCAAAUGUUAAAAUUUAUAAUGUGAAAAAAUGUAGCAACAUGG
ensembl:lncRNA